UACGUAGGGUGCAAGCGUUGUCCGGAAUUAUUGGGCGUAAAGAGCUCGUAGGCGGUCUGUCGCGUCGGCUGUGAAAUCCCGAGGCUCAACCUCGGGUCUGCAGUCGAUACGGGCAAACUAGAGUGUUGCAGGGGAGACUGGAAUUCCUGGUGUAGCGGUGAAAUGCGCAGAUAUCAGGAGGAACACCGGUGGCGAAGGCGGGUCUCUGGGCAACAACUGACGCUGAGGAGCGAAAGCGUGGGGAGCGAACAGG
rnacentral:rRNA from 1 species